CAGCACCUCAAGUGGUCAGGAUGAUUAUUGGGCCUAAAGCAUCCGUAGCCGGCGCUGUAAGUUUUCGGUUAAAUCUGUACGCUCAACGUACAGGCUGCCGGGAAUACUGCAGCGCUAGGGAGUGGGAGAGGUAGACGGUACUCGGUAGGAAGGGGUAAAAUCCUUUGAUCUAAUGAUGACCACCUGUGGCGAAGGCGGUCUACCAGAACACGUCCGACGGUGAGGGAUGAAAGCUGGGGGAGCAAACCGGAUUAGAGACCCGAGUAGUCC
rnacentral:rRNA from 1 species